rnacentral:lncRNA from 1 species
UUUGAGUCAUUUUUUCUCACCCAUUUUGUGACAGUAACAAAGUUUGGCUGACUGAGCGCUCAUGGGCUAGGAUGCAGCUGCCAGCUCCUGAAGCUACGGGCAAGUAAGAUUGAUGAAGCAGGAAUAUUCUUCUGAGAAGCAAAGCAUGCUGGGGGAAUUCUGCAGGGCCAAGGCAGCAAGAUCAAGUAACCCUGGAUUAAGACAUCUGAAGCUGUUUCUUGAAGCAAUGGAGA